rnacentral:rRNA from 1 species
CCCCUAACAUAAAUAACUACCGGAUACUACAAACCUAAAUUUAAAACUCAAAGAUCUUGGCGGUGUCUUAUACAAUCAGGGGAACCUGUCCCUUAAUUCGAUAAUCCACGAAUGCUCGAGCCCCUCUCGAAUAACAGCCUGUUUACUGCCGUCGAAAGUAUGCCUCUGAGAGUUAACAUACAGAAAUAAAUCUAUCCACGUCAGGUCAAGGUGCAGCCUACGGGGGGCAGGCGAUGGGUUACACACCUAAUAAAGGCUACCGCCCCACACUAAAAAGCGUGAAAAAAGCUGGACUUGAAAGUAAUAAUAUAUACUAUAAUAUUAUGAAUAGGAAUCUAAGACAUGUACAUAUCGCCCGUCGCUCUCGUCGAAAGAUG